GGGGCUGGUUUGUGGACAUAGGUCUUGCAAACCCGGUCAGGUCCGGAAGGAAGCAGCCGUCGUAAGAUCCCUAUGGGUCACAUAAAGACCAGCCCCUCA
rnacentral:SRP_RNA from 1 species